UGGGGAAUCUUCCGCAAUGGGCGCAAGCCUGACGGAGCAACGCCGCGUGAGUGAAGAAGGGUUUCGACUCGUAAAGCUCUGUUGUCGGGGAGUAACGUGCGGGACGGGUCCCGUAUUGAGAGUACCCGAAGAAAAAGCAUCGGCUAACUCCGUGCCAGCAGCCGCGGUAAUACGGAGGAUGCGAGCGUUAUCCGGAUUUAUUGGGUUUAAAGGGUGCGCAGGCGGCGCGCCAAGUCAGCGGUCAAAAGUUCCGGGCUCAACCCGGUGUCGCCGUUGAAACUGGCGUGCUCGAGUGCGUGCGAGGAAGGCGGAAUGCGUUGUGUAGCGGUGAAAUGCAUAGAUAUGACGCAGAACUCCGAUUGCGAAGGCAGCUUUCCAGCGCGCUACUGACGCUGAGGCACGAAAGCGUGGGGAUCGAACAGGAUUAGAUACCCUGGGUA
rnacentral:rRNA from 1 species